rnacentral:rRNA from 1 species
CAUAUCAAUAAGCGGAGGAAAAGAAACCAACAGGGAUUGCCUCAGUAACGGCGAGUGAAGCGGCAAAAGCUCAAAUUUGAAACCCUCGGGAUUGUAAUUUGAAGAUUUGGCAUUGGAAAAAGCUACCCCAAGUUGCUUGGAAUAGUACGUCAUAGAGGGUGACAACCCCGUCUGGUUAACCGUUUUCCAUUGUAUUGCCUUAUCAAAAAGUCAAGUUGUUUGGAAAUGCACCUCAAAGGGGGGGGAAAACUCCAUCUAAAG